CUGUAGUUACGUUUUAACCGUCAUUGUAUUUAGAAAACUAUUUACAAUAUCUAUUGUGCUCUCUGUUCUUUCUUUCGCGGUCACGAAUUUUUUCGUUGUUUCCCCGUGAUUUGUAACGUCGACCUGAUUCUUUUCCACGGAAUAGAUCUGAAUGCUGCUAUUGUUUUGGUGCAUAAUGGAAGCAAGAUUGUACACGCGUCGCUUAAAAAGGAGACAUAAGAUUAAUUUUUCGGUAUAAAUUUGUAGAACUCGAAUAUUGAGGUAAACCCUGCGCGAACGUGUAGAACAAUCUAGAUAAUAGCUCUACGAUUGUACGGAAUAUCGCGUGUCAAACAAUGUCACGUUCUUUUUUUUCGUAAAAACGAGGUAUUACGCGCGAAAAAGGGUAUCGAUCUCGGUGUACAUAUCGGUCGUAAAAUAUCGUAUCAAAUAUGGUGGAGAUUGACAGGCAUGAAGAUACAGUGUUGACCAUGAAUAUCUCCGGAUUAUACAAAUACGUUCGCAUGCACCAAUGUCGCAACCAUUGUGAACCGUGUGCUGCAUGUUAUAAUUCCUUAUGGACAAACGGACAUCGACCGCAGAAUAUCGAGUUUCGAAGCGCAGGAAAGGAAAUAUUUUAAAAUUUCUUUUCCUGUCCUGAUGGUACACCCUCUAUCGCGGGACGGCCGGCUGACCUAUAUUCACCUGAUCCAGCGUCCCGUAGAUCGACGAGCAAUGGCGACGCAUCCUGCCGGAUAGACGAGUGGCAACAGAUCGACCGUUUCACCCUUGAAACUCGUGCAUUUCGUCAGUCGACCGACGUCGCUUUUCCCGUUGAAUCGACUCUGUUGCGGCAGACGAAUCGAGAAAAAAAAGAGAAGAAAAGGAGAGAACGACUGUGGCUAAGAAAAACUCACCGGAUCAGCUCGAAGAUCUCCGGCUUCUCGAGCUCCCUCUGCUUCAUUCUUUCCUUCAUGGCCGUGAUUAUGCUGUUAGCCUUAUCCUCGGCGCCGUGCUUUGAGCUCUUCUCAGCCGCCCCUGGGAAAAUGAAGCAACCGGUGAAAAUUCACGCUGUGAAACUCAAGUCUCGUGAUCGCGAGAACUUCUCAAGCCGUGGAUUAGGCUGCGUUUAUACCGUAGUUGCGAUACUCGAUAAAAGUAUCGAUGAGAACGAAGUUUAGAAAUAGGUUUCGUUGUUUCAGUGUGAAUACGUUUACGCUGAAGCAGCGAGCAAGGCCACAUGUGAAAACGUUGCGGCAACGAUUAUUUUGGAGUAGGGUAACUUGAGGAGAGCUGGCUCACUUUUUUGAAAGGUUUUUUAACCCUCUAUAGGCCCGUGUCACUUUGAAUGAAUUGAUUUAUUUAAUUUUUUAUUGCAAAAUGAUGAAUGUGGGAGUAGGGUGCGAAAUGACUGAUACUUAUUCACUUAUUUAUUAUUCAACACUUAAAAAGUACACGGAAGGACUUUUGUCUGACCUAGCGCCAGAACGAACAAACGUGAAGUGACUCUUGCUGUCAUUGGUUCAUCUGUUCGGAAAAGAAGGUUUUCCCCACGUGCGGAGCUAGCUGGUUUAUUUGUUUCAUCGCCCGUUUUAGGGCUCGGCAAUUUAAUGAGCCCGCACGGGUUUGCGACACCGAUGUUUGCUUACCCAUGCUACCUGGGCUAGAACAUCCGCUCGGCAAGAAAACCUUUUCUGCGUCCCGUUAUGCCGCCACAAUGAAUGAAUUUUGUAACUUCAAAGUUACAAAAUAUAUUCGUUUUGAUACAAUUAUUAAAACUACUGAAUACAAUGUUAAUUUGUAUUCAUAUGUUGAUAUUUAUUAAUUUCAU